UAAUGACUUACUCUAGUAAUAGUACUUAACUAUGUAUAAGAAAAAGAUGUCUUACUUUCUUUAUUGUUUAAAAUAGGGGCCAAUCACCAAGACUUAUAAAUAAAAUAAUUUUAAACAAAUUUAAAA